GUACGUGCUUGAGCCUGCCCGAAAAUGCUCUCCCGUGUUGUUGGAUUUCGAAAGAGCACAGGACUUUGCGAUGAAAUAAUACAUUUUUACCCGUGUGGAAAACAAAAACAAACCGCAUGUUUUUAAACGUAAGUGUUUCGCGUUCCCAUUGAGUGGAGAAACGGUGUUUUUGGAGGGGACUCCAACGGGGAAGUUUGAGUGAUCGUUUUUUCCCGGAGUGAUGUCGAAUCCUGGGACUCGGAGGAACGGGUCCAGCAUCAAAAUUCGACUGACAGUAUUAUGUGCCAAGAACCUCGCAAAGAAAGACUUCUUUCGACUACCGGAUCCCUUCGCCAAGGUUGUGGUGGAUGGAUCGGGUCAAUGCCACUCUACAGACACAGUCAAGAGCACACUGGACCCCAAAUGGAAUCAGCACUACGACCUCUACAUUGGAAAGACAGACUCCAUCACGAUCAGCAUAUGGAACCACAAAAAGAUCCAUAAACGACAGGGGGCGGGCUUCCUGGGCUGCAUACGACUGCUUUCUAACGCCAUCAGCAGGCUAAAAGACACAGGAUACCAGCGACUAGACCUCUGUAAGCUGAACCCCUCGGACAGUGACGCAGUGCGGGGGCAGAUCGUAGUGAGCUUACAGACGCGAGAUCGCAUCGGCAGCGGUGGCCCUGUGGUGGACUGCAGGGGACUGCUGGAAAAUGACGGGCCUGUGUUUGAGGGAUGCUUCAGUGAAGAGCCGCUGCCCUACUCGGACCCCACCGGGGCAGCGGGAGGCGGGAACUGUCGGCUCGACUCGCCCGGUCAGGAGGGUCGUCUUCAGACGCAGCGAAUCAGAGGGCAGGACUCGAGAGGCCACGGACACACACCCCAAAACAGACCGCACGGACACCAGCCGCCCGACCUGCCGGAGGGAUACGAACAAAGAACGACGGUGCAGGGCCAGGUCUACUUCCUUCACACACAGACGGGCGUCAGCACCUGGCACGACCCUCGAAUACCGCGGGAUCUGGCCAGUGUGAGCUGUGAGGAGCUGGGCCCGCUGCCGGUGGGCUGGGAGGUCCGCAGCACCGUGUCGGGGCGGAUCUACUUUGUGGACCACAACAACCGAACCACACAGUUCACAGACCCGCGCCUACACACCAUUAUCAGCCAGCAAAGCCAAGCGAAGGAAUCCUCGCAAGCCCCCCAGAUGGAGGUGGGGGGUGAGGAGGGGGGAGUCGUCGGAGUGGUCGGGGGAGUUGGAGGCGGAGAUGGAGACGUGGCGGCGCGAUACGAGAGAGACCUGGUGCAUAAAUUAAAGCUGCUCCGACACGAGCUGUCCUUACAGCAGCCUCAGGCCGGACACUGUCGCAUCGAGGUGUCCAGAGAGGAGAUCUUUGAGGAGUCAUAUCGGCAAAUAAUGAAGAUGAGGCCCAAAGACCUGAAGAAGCGUCUGAUGGUGAAGUUCAGAGGAGAGGAGGGGCUGGACUACGGUGGAGUGGCCAGGGAGUGGCUGUACCUGCUGUGUCAUGAAAUGUUGAACCCCUAUUACGGCCUGUUCCAGUACUCCACAGACAAUAUCUACACACUACAGAUCAACCCCGACUCCUCCAUCAACCCUGACCACCUGUCUUACUUCCACUUUGUUGGCCGGGUGAUGGGCCUGGCAGUUUUUCACGGUCACUACAUCAACGGGAGCUUCACGCUGCCCUUCUACAAACAGCUGCUAGGAAAACCCAUCACGCUCAUCGACCUGGAGACCACCGACCCCGAGCUGCACAAGAGUCUCGUCUGGAUACUAGAGAACGACAUCACUACGGUCCUCGACCACACCUUCUGCGUGGAGCACAACGCCUUCGGGAAGUUCUCACAACACGAACUCAAACCCAACGGCCGCAAUAUCCCCGUCACCGAGGACAACAAAAAGGAAUACGUCAGACUUUAUGUGAACUGGCGGUUUAUGCGAGGAAUCGAAGCCCAGUUUCUGGCUCUACAGAAGGGAUUCAGUGAGCUCAUCCCCCAGCACCUCCUCAAACCUUUCGACCACAAAGAACUCGAGUUGAUCAUCGGUGGGCUGGGGAAGAUCGACCUGGCGGACUGGAAGACCAACACGCGUCUGAAGCACUGCACCUGUGAGAGCAACGUGGUGCGGUGGUUCUGGGAGGCGGUGGAGGCCUUCAGCGAGGAGAGGAGAGGACGCCUCCUGCAGUUCGUCACAGGAUCCACCCGAGUCCCGUUACAGGGGUUCAAAGCGUUGCAGGGUGGGUCACUCACUGGAUCACACAACACACAUUCAUAUUUUACCCACAUCAUAUAUUAUGUUCACUUGAUGCUAACAUUUAGUCUGCUAAUUCAAUGUAUCUGUUCUCCUAAUGAACGAUUAAACAACCAACAUUUACUAUCAGUACGAUAACUGAUUCAAAUAGAGUUCUUGAUCAAAGGAAAUCUCUUUUUACUAUGUUUGAGACUUAUUAUGGUACACUUUAAGGAUAUUUGACUCCACUAAACACAUCUUAACAAUAACAUAUAGUACGUAGAGAUGUGCACACAUGCUUAUGGCGCAUUUCCACUACAGCGCGGUUUAAGCGUGCCGUGCCCGGCCCGUUUUUGGUUGCGUUUCCACUAGGCGUAGUUCCGGCUAGCAGGUACUUUUUCACCGUUUUUCUGGCUCUCCAAAAUCCAGGUUCUUUCCGGGCCAACAACCGGGCUGAGUAUGCUAAACUAGAGAGAGAAUCGCUGGCAACUACAACAAAAUGAACAUAUUUGACCGUGAUUUAAUUGUAAUACACGUUUCAACAUGAUGCCGGUUACUAUAGUUACUGCCCCAGCUCCUAAACUGUAAUGGAAACGCAGCUGAAAGUGAGCCUGGCCUACCAAGGCCUAACUACCGUACUAAGCCGUGCGAGGCCCUGCAGUGGAAAUGCGCCAUAACAGACUUCUUGAGUACUUAAAGUCAAUUCAUUUGACAAUUAUUUUCUAGAUAAACCAGUUCAAAAAACUAAACAAAUUGUAUACGUCACUCCCCUCCCAAGGCUGUCUAUGGUCCUGGAAAAUGUUUUCUAUCGGGUGGCGUUAAGGAGAGCGGUGCGUCUUGUAAAUGAAAGCAUAUAAAACAGUUUUUGGACAUUUUAUAACUUUAUUGCUGACUUUCAUUUGGUCUGUUAGAACUUUCCUUUUUCUUAUGCUCUGCUCUCUUUAAAGCCAUUAGAUAGAAAACUAUAAAGAGGCAAGUGAGGUUAGUUUUAUAUACAUUUUAUUUUGUUUUUGAGUUAACUGCAUCAUGUAUAACUAAAAUAUAUUUGGUUUACUAGCAUGCAGACAUAGAAAAUCAUGUUUCAGAUUACUUUUCGUAUAAAAACACUCACUAAAGCAUUAUUCAAAUAGUAGCCAAUUAAUUCACAUGUUUAGACACUCGUGAUUUGAUCGACUAAGCUGUAGAUUCAAUUCAAACUAAUCCAGAUUCAUUUCCAGCCAACAAUAAAUCUAACAACUAAUGAAUUGAUUAUAUCUUUGUGAUUUGAUGGGAUCCUGUGUAAAGAUUGUUGAGUGGUCAGUGCCUCGGAGUAGAGCAGUGAUAACUAGAAUGUAUAUGUGUAAGGUUCUACAGGUUCUGCAGGACCAAGGCUCUUCACCAUCCACUUGAUAGACGCCAACACAGACAACUUGCCCAAGGCUCACACCUGUUUUAACCGGAUAGACGUCCCUCCCUACGAGUCCUACGAGAAGCUCUAUGAGAAACUGCUGACGGCUGUGGAGGAGACCUGCGGCUUCGCUGUGGAGUGACGAGUCCAAAAUCAACCCGACACACACAGACACACUUGCGCUUGCACUUGCACACAAAACUAUUUGACUUUUUACAUCAUAUACACACACAUCAACAAAAUAUCAAAGUAUACACGGAGUAUACGGAGCAGCCAAGCAUCACAAGAAACAGACUUUGGGUCUCUCUCCACCUCCUAACCAAACUGUUGGGGGGGGGGGGGGGGUUAAAGGAGGAAGCACAGCGGGAGAGGAAGAAGAUACAAAAACAGACAAAAAAAGAAAAGUAUUUUAAAGUUUUUCAAAUGUUUUGAAGAAGCAUUUUUAUCCUUCAGUUUUAACAAGCUAUGAUGUCAUUCUUCAGAAUGUCUACCGCCGCCGCCGCGGACAGAAUCGGCCAAUCACAUGCGAGCCUGGGAACUUUUAGAAAAUCAGACGUAUGAAGAAGAGGAACAAAGCGGAGACUGAUUGUCUUUCUGUCUGACAAGCCGAUUGAUUGACUAGUGUUCAUGCUUUAUGUUUAACCACUGUCGUGUAUCAGAGAGUGCAUGUACAUGUGUGUGUGAAUGAGACUGUAUUUGUGUGUGUGUGAGAGAGUGUGUGUUUCAGGCAUGGCACUCUGUUCCGCUGUAAAAAUGAUCAAAUGAGCCUGCUCCUCUGUUUUUUGCUAACUUUUUGUCUCCUUCCGUUUGUAUCUGCGACCACUCUGAUCCACUCUGAUAUUUUUAUUAUUUAUUACUAAGUGAUUACUGACCAAGCUGCUAUAUGCUCUACACAGAGCCCACACUAAUCUCUUCAUCACCCCCCCUCUACCAGAGUUGAAGGGUCAAUUCACUUACAAUUCAAGUAAUCCACAAAGUGGGUUUUAUUGAAUUUCGUUACUUGUUUUUAUUUUUUUUUUAACAUUCAAAUAAUUGCGGGGGGAAUACUCUUGUCAGUGUAUGAAUGAACAGUGUUUUUGGUGUUUUAAAUACCACGUUACAUUUAUUUUGAAAGGGAUCAAUCCUCCCUACCCUGAUUUUAAAAACUCUACUGACGCUGGGGACCUGGAUAUUUAACUAAAUGAGCCACGAGGAUGGAUGGAAAGGAAGAAAGGGUCAGCUUCAGGAACUCUUUGGUUGUAUGUGACGUGUAUAAUAAAAUCUCAAAAGCCUUUCAUACAUGUUUCAUCAUCCAUUUCACCAUCUUGGUUUUUCUUUCUCUGUGGCCCUGAUGUUGUCUCCAUUGCCUGGAUGUUAGAAAAAAGUAGUCCUCGUUCUCAAGACCACCAUGAAUGAACAAAAAAAUCCUCUUUACAGUCAUUAGUCCUCCAACAAAGUGAAUGAAAUCAAAAGACCUACAUGUGGAAACAGUUGGGAUUUGUUGUAGAUUGAUUAUUGAAGACUGUUAAGCAGUAUCAUUUCAAUCUGCAUUUUCUAGAGUUCACUGUGUAAUGGAUGCAAGAGUAUUGUAACUUACUAUGUACUAAACAUUUAUGAAAAAAUACAAUGUAAAUAAGAUUAUAUUAAAAGAAAUUAAAUUGAAAAUAAA